rnacentral:rRNA from 1 species
AACGGCCGCGGUACCCUAACCGUGCGAAGGUAGCAUAAUCACUUGUUCUUUAAAUAGGGACUCGUAUCAACGGCAUCACGAGGGCUAUACUGUCUCCUUUCUCUAAUCAGUGAAACUGAUCUCCUCGUGAAGAAGCGAGGAUAGUUUUAUAAGACGAGAAGACCCCAUGGAGCUUUAAACCCAAUGUACAUCUCUACGCAUAUAAGCCCCAAUAGCCCAAGAAAAUUGUAUGUUGGUUUUGGGUUGGGGGGACCGCGGAGAAAAAAUUAACCUCCACGACAAAUGGGCCUAUGCCCUUAUCCAUGAGCUACCAUUCUAAGAAUCAAUAAACUGAUGUUCAGUGACCCAAUUUAUUUGAUCAACGAACCAAGUUACCCUGGGGAUAACAGCGCAAUCUACUUCAAGAGCCCCUAUCGACAAGUGGGUUUACGACCUCGAUGUUGGAUCAGGGUAUCCUAGU